AUUUGACAUAAAUUACAUUGAAAGACCCCCGAAGGGAGACCCUCACUCAAGCCUCGGGACAGCCGCGGACCCAAGAAGACACUGAGACCG
rnacentral:pre_miRNA from 7 species